CUUUUUUAACUUUUUGUUUCAAUAUAUGUUCCUAGUUCAGAAAGAAAUUGAAGAAGGUGGGCCUGCUUAAUUGCCCAUCUUUGAUUUAUCUAAUCCCCUGACCCUUAAGUAAAUGCGGUUAAGUUUUUUCUAUGUCUUACAGAAAUUUCAAGCAUUAUUUUUGACUACUACAUACUACUGACUGCUCAGUUGGUGAAACUGAAGAUCUUUCACUCGGAAGAAAUAAACCAAGGAGGAGAACCUGAGGUUCGU
rnacentral:lncRNA from 1 species